AUUGAACGCUGGCGGCAUGCUUUACACAUGCAAGUCGAACGGUAACAGGCCGCAAGGUGCUGACGAGUGGCGAACGGGUGAGUAAUGCAUCGGAACGUGCCCAGUCGUGGGGGAUAACGCAGCGAAAGCUGCGCUAAUACCGCAUACGAUCUAUGGAUGAAAGCGGGGGACCGUAAGGCCUCGCGCGAUUGGAGCGGCCGAUGUCAGAUUAGGUAGUUGGUGGGGUAAAGGCUCACCAAGCCAACGAUCUGUAGCUGGUCUGAGAGGACGACCAGCCACACUGGGACUGAGAGACGGCCCAGACUCCUACGGGAGGCAGCAGUGGGUAAUUUUGGACAAUGGGCGCAAGCCUGAUCCAGCAAUGCCGCGUGCAGGAAGAAGGCCUUCGGGUUGUAAACUGCUUUUGUACGGAACGAAACGGUCCUGGUUAAUACCUGGGGCUAAUGACUGUACCGUAAGAAUAGGCACCGGCUAACUACGUGCCAGCCGCCGCGGUAAAAC
rnacentral:rRNA from 1 species